CAUUGUUGAGAGAGCAUUGAAUGAUGGGUGAUUGUGAAUGUGUCAACGUGCCCUUUCCUUGCCCCAUGUUGGUGGGCAAUUGACCGUAGCUCGGUGCGAUCGGCACCAAGGAACAAUGAACUUAGAAGCAGAGGGCCCUCGACGUGCGCGUGGAGCCCAAUGCGUCGGAGAUGCCUCGGAAUCAAAUGACUCUCGGCAAUGGAUAUCUCGGCUCUUGCAUCGAUGAAGAACGUAGUGAAAUGCGAUACUUGGUGUGAAUUGCAGAAUCUCGUGAACCAUUGAGUCUUUGAACGCAAGUUGUGCCCGAGGCCUUGUGGCCGAGGGCACGCCUGCUUGGGCGUCAUGGCAUCGUCGCCUUUGCUCCUUGCUUUGCUGGUGCCAAGCGCGGAAAUUGGCCUCGUGUGCCCUCGGGCACAGUCGGUCGAAGUGUGGGUAGUCGGCAGUCGUCGGGCGCGAUGGGUGUUGGUCGCCCUGUGCGUGAACUGAACGUCGUCCCCGUCGUGUCGGGAUGAGUCCUCAAGUGAUUGCGGCGUCGCGUGAAAGUGCCGUGUCCGUCAUAUUGUGGCCCCAAG
rnacentral:rRNA from 1 species